rnacentral:rRNA from 1 species
AAAGGUAAGCUACUAAGAGCGAAUGGUGGAUGCCUUGACUGGUAAAGGCGAUGAAGGACGUACUAGACUGCGAUAAGCUACGGGGAGCUGUCAAGAAGCUUUGAUCCGUAGAUUUCCGAAUGGGGCAACCCAAUGUAUAGAGAUAUACAUUACCUAUAUAGGAGCGAACGAGGGGAAUUGAAACAUCUUAGUACCCUCAGGAAAAGAAAUCAAUAGAGAUUGCGUCAGUAGCGGCGAGCGAAAGCGCAAGAGGGCAAACCCAGUGCUUGCACUGGGGGUUGUAGGACUGCAAUGUGCAAGAGGUGAGUUUAGCAGAACAUUCUGGAAAGUAUAGCCAUAGAGGGUGAUAGUCCCGUAUGCGAAAAACAAACCUUAGCUAGCAGUAUCCUGAGUAGGGCGGGACACGAGAAAUCCUGUCUGAAGCUGGGUCGACCAC